AGGACGAACGCUGGCGGCACGCUUAAAACAUGCAAGUCGAACGUGAAGCCCGGGCUUGCCUGGGUGGAAAGUGGCGAACGGGUGAGUAACACGUGAGCAACCUGCCCUUGACACUGGAAUAACAGUUGGAAACAGCUGCUAAUACCGGAUACGACCUUCGAUGGCAUCAUCUGGAGGUAGAAAGCUCCGACGGUCAAGGAUGGGCUCGCGGCCUAUCAGCUUGUUGGUGAGGUAACGGCUCACCAAGGCUUCGACGGGUA
rnacentral:rRNA from 1 species